GAGCAAGGCCAGGGGACCGCUCUGCUGCACCAGCUUGGGUUCCCGGCCCCGGUGAUGGAAUUAUUGUUUAUUUUUUUAAUUUUCCAAGGUAGGCCGAUGACAGCUGAAGAAGACUGUAUUUGCGGAGGAGCAGCAUGAGGGUAGAGAGGAGCAGAGCUCCUGAGGGAAACCUAAUAGUUCCUCUCCUUCCUGCACGGAGAUAAAGACUUAUAAUCAGCGUCUAUGUUCACCAUCUGGCUCUGCGCAUGUGGUCCGUAUGGAGGAGAAAGCCGCACAAUCUGUAAGUGAUCAGGAGCCAUGGCGCUCUCUCCAGAGAAUCCACGAUGCAAUCAAGGUGACAGAUGGCACGGCCACUGCUGUGGCCUCAUGGAGAAGAUCAAAAUCACCUUCAAUAAACUCUGACUGAAAUGGGCAUGAGCACCUCGAAAAAGUCAGUUUGUCAGUCAAACUGCGACAGCGCGCUGCACUGGGGAACCACAGCGGCCAGCUCUCUGUUUUCAAUCGUUUCCGUCUGACUGGGCCUGAACUAUGAUCCUUCUCAAAUUGUCCUUUCUGUUUAGCUGAAGCAGGCCAGCAAAUUGCCAGAUUCAUUGCUUUAUUGAAGAAAAUUGAAAACACGAUGUCCUCAAUUCCGAGGACGCACAGCUGGCAGGUACCCGGGACACCCAAACGCAGGGAGAGUGGACCUGGUUUCUGCAGCCGGAGUUUGCCCAACUUUAGGCGGAUAUUUUUGAACGCAAAUAUAAAAUGCAAAUGUGUACGGGGCAGUGGUUAUGUAAACGGUAUUAAGUAACCAGUAAGUGUUGUAGAAUGGAGACGUGGCUACAAAGAAAGGAAGAAAGGAAGAAAGGAAAGGGGGAAACUCCAGCAGGGAGUUGUCUCUGCGAGUUCAGAGCAGGUUUCUUUCUUGAUAGAGCUAGUGUGUUUUCUUUCUGUAUCUGUUUACUAUGUGGAGGUUCCUUUGGGUUUGAGCACAAGGUUGAAGAAAUGCAGAGAUACUGUUUUGUUUUGAGCAAAUCACAGGGAAUCUGCAGGGGUCAGGAAGUUUAAACAAAUUUCCGUUUCUCCUAACCCCAGAGGAAAAAAAAUUAGAAGCCCCAACCGCUUAUAAAUGGAGGGAAAUGAGGAACAGCUAACCUGCAGUGGGACUCAAAUCCACUACCAUCUUUUGAGAAGUAAGGACACUGAUUUCAGGUCAGGGAGGGCGGGUCCUGAUGAGAGCAGGCGCCCCUCUUCCUCCCUCCUGAUCCCUUGGCACAGUUCCACUGUUGUUCUUCCUCCCAAUCGCCAGGACCGGAGAUUGAAAGCAAAACUAGACUUUUCCAAUCUUCUUUCUCUAAAGUUUCCAGGAUCUGUGUCUGGUCCUGGAGUUUUCUAUUACAAGCUGGCUGAGGGAACUUACCCCUUCUAACUUUUCGUCCAUUCUCUUUUUAAAAAGUUGUAACCUUCUAGUUAAUGUUGCGGGCUUGCUUCAUUUAAGAUCCAAACCCUGCUCCUGCUUCAUCCCCCACAAUGUAAACUGUUUGACAGCUGAGAAAUACUGAGUCACCCGGCCCUGGAUUUCCAUGGGAAUUCUCUACUCUUAUUAUAGGUACAAUUUGAAUGCCAGGAUUCUGGUGCAGUGAUAUAGAAAUGCAUCUAAAGGGGACUCAUCCUUGAUUUGUGUAUGUGAAAUUCAAGAAAACACGGGGAAAAGCUCCUAUUUUGAGUGACAGGAAAGUCUUGCUCUUUGGGGGGAAGGACUGUGUUUUCACAGAGUAUAAGAGUGGAGCUAACUUACUGCAUAUCAAAGGGAAGUGUGGUUUGUUAAGAACAAAAGACCCUUUGUGUUUUCUUGUUCUUUAGUAGGUAAUACCUACUGAGUGCUGAGUACCCACUAUGUGCAGGCUUUGCAGAAUUGAGAAGAUUCCCAGGGAGAAAAUGUAGGUUUUAAAGCCCUCUUCGGGGCACAGAGCUCUCUGCCUGACCUUUCUCCCUUGACCUACCUCCUUGGGCAGUGGGGGGUGUUCUUGCAUGACAACAGGGCUGGUGUUAGGCUGGUGGCUGCCUGCUGUUUUUACACAGGAAAUGCUGUGUAUUUUUUCUGUGGUCUUUGGCUUCCUGGAAUAGCGACUGUUUAAAGACACAUUCAUCAGUGCUGCCACCAGGAGGGGUGGUAGGAUGAGUCAUCGCUCAGCAGCAGCUCCAGUUACUCAGGGAGAAAGAAAUCUUUUGCUUCCUAACGGUGGCAGUUCUGAGUCUUUCUUUAAGAGAUGGCCUACUGGACCAUGACAGUAUGGAAACAUACUUCUAAAAUGAGGUUUAGUAAUUAGAGCUUGGCCCAAACUCAGAUAUUUAUGCUCCAGUCAUCUCUAGCAUGGAAUUUCUCUUGAUCUGUGCCAGAUACACAGCCAUACACCAUUAGUGUCCUUUAACUCUAAGUCCCAAACUAAAAUCUUGCUUAGAGAAAUUUCCUUGAGACAGUUUAAAACUCAUGUUCAUGAGCAGAGAUGUCCUUAAAGUGCUGUAUGUACUUGCUAUAUCCAUCCAUCCAUCUCUGUAUCUUCUGUAGGUGAGAUUGGCAGGGAUGGGAUGUGAGGAUGUAGAGAUUGUCCUGGGAUUCACAAGGCAGCACCCAUGGAGGGCAACUCUCCAUCACAGGGCACUGGCUUUUUGAGUAGAUGCAUUAAUGACAUUUUUUAUUCAUUAAUAUUUUGUUCUCUGUGUGUGUCUGUGUGUCUCUCUCUCUCUCUCUCUCUCUCUCUCUCUCUGUGUGUGUGUGUGUGUGUGUGUGUGUGUGCAUGUGUGUACAUUGUCACAUAUGUGUUCAUGGAUACAGGCACAUACAUAUCACAAUUCAGAGAUCAACACUAAAUGUUUUCCUCAGUACCCUUUACCUUGUUUGUUUGUUUUCUUUUUUGAGACCCAACAUCUUAGUGAACCUGGAGCUUGCUACUUUAACGAGACAGGGUGAUAAGCAAGCCCCACAGGAUAUGCCCCUGUCUCUGCUUCCACAUCAUUGAGAUUAGAGCCAUGUACACUUUCACCCUGUUUUAUAAUGUGCUGAAGAACUAAAGCCAAGUUCUCAUGCUUGUCAGUCAUGCGCUUUACUUAUGAUUAUUUUGCCAGGUCCAAGAGUUUAAGAGCAGAUUCAUUGUGAAUGAAGAGAUUGCAUAGAAAUUUAAAUACAGAUAGAAAAGAAUAAGUAUGUGGUGAGAUGUUUCUUAUGAAUUGAGAGUAGUUUGGUCAUUUGUAGGUCACAGAUUUCAUUAGUUCCUAUUACUAUUUUUCUUACCACUUUAUUGCUUAAAGUUACUGCACUAAUUUUAAGAAUAUUUUCUGCUAACUUUAAUAGGUUGGGGGAUAUGUGUAUAUGUGCCACAUUUCUGUUGCUCUAACUACAUACCUUUCAAUCAAUAACAUUUGACUUCUUGGAUUCUCUGCUGGUUGUGAGGCUCCUACUUUCCACAUGGCAGACAGAAGACCAAGAGAGAUGGAGAGUUCAGUGCCACAGGCCUGUUCCCAGUAACGUAUUUCCUCUAAUAAAGUCUUAUUCCUAGGUCUUCCCAAAAUAGUACCAUCUGCUUAUGACCACGCCCCAAAUGUGAGUCUUUUUCAGGAAGACAGAUCUAAACUGUGACAAACCAAGUCCAAAAGAAUACCCAUUAAAAUAAAAUUAAAAUGUAAGCAGAUAAUGGCAUUUAUAAAUUGAUAAGCUUAUAUGCCACAAGUGUUAUGUUCUUAAAAGAUUCUCUUUUUCUUGUAUAUAAUAAUGGAGACAUAAAUACAAAUGGACAAGAGGGAGGUAUCUUGCAAAUAUAGUGUUAUUUCUACUUGUUUAACUUAUUUCAGAAUAUUAGACUGAAAAAUACCUGUGCAAAUGCCAUGUACACAAGUCUCGCUGUAUCCUCAAAACAUUAUGCAAUCAGAAAAAUUUUGAAAGGUAGACUAUUGAAGAAAAAUAAUACAGUCUAUCGUUGAAUAAAAUGAAGGCUCCAACG
rnacentral:lncRNA from 1 species